rnacentral:tRNA from 1 species
GAUGUAGCUCAGUUGAUAGAGUGUUUGCCUUGCAUGCACAAAGCCCUGGGUUCAAUCCCUAGCACA